AUUCAUUUUACUUUAGAUCAUUCUGUGAUGAAAACAGUUACCAAAAAAGUUCUCCAGAUGGAAGGAGUGCCAAGUCAGAGUCUUGGCCGCAAAGAAGCCUGUAAGUAAUGGAAGGAAACACUCUGCUGGUCAAGAAUGUUACCCUCCUGAAGCGCUACCACCUGGAGUGUCUGGUUUCCGGCCAUUGUGUCCUGCAGAAAGUGCAAAAAGCAACAGGUCCAUCAGAAUUUCCUGUGACUGUGACAGUAGAGAGUCCUUCCUCCUCAGAAAU